rnacentral:rRNA from 1 species
CCCUUAGAUGUUCUGGGCCGCACGCGCGCUACACUGAUGAACGCAACGAGACCACCUGUACCGAAAGGCAUGGGUAAACUUGUGAAAGUUCAUCGUGAUGGGGAUAGAUUAUUGCAAUUAUUAAUCUUCAACGAGGAAUUCCUAGUAAGCGCGAGUCAUCAGCUCGCGUUGAUUACGUCCCUGCCCUUUGUACACACCGCCCGUCGCUCCUACCGAUUGAGUGGUCCGGUGAGGCUUUGGGAUCUGAGCGGAAAGAGCGUUUCGCUGUUUCUGCCCGGAAAACUCAGUCGAACCUUAUCAUUUAGAGGAAGGAGAAGUCGUAACA